CGCAUCUGUGCAUGCAGCAUAUCAAUAAGCGGAGGAAAAGAAACUAACAAGGAUUCCCCUAGUAACGGCGAGUGAAGCGGGAAGAGCUCAAAUUUGAAAUCUUAAAGGGUUUCCCUUUACGAAUUGUAGUUUAAAGAAGUGUUUUCUGUUGAGGUUUUGGUAAAAGUUCUUUGGAAUAGGACAUCAUAGAGGGUGAGAAUCCCGUAUUUGACCUUUACUUUCAACUUUGUGAUACACUUUCAAAGAGUCGGAUUGUUUGGGAAUGCAGUCCAAAAUGGGUGGUAAAUUUCAUCUAAAGCUAAGUAUUGGCGAGAGACCGAUAGCGAACAAGUACCGUGAGGGAAAGAUGAAAAGAACUUUGAAAAGAGAGUUAAACAGUACGUGAAAUUGUCAAAAGGGAAGCGUUUGACAUCAGUGUUGUUUUUCUGAAAAUCAAUUAAAGAACUGUCUAUGCUAAGCUGUUUAGACUUAUCAGCUAAUCUGUUUAGUUUUGAGCUUUUCUUUAAUGCACUUUUCAGUUAACAAGUCAACAUCAAUUUCUUUUGCUGUAAAAAAGCUUGAGGAAGGUGGCUUGAGAUUCGUCUUAAGUGUUUAUAGCCUCUUGCCUAUGCAGUCGGAGAGAUUGAGGUCUGCAGCGUAGAUCCUUCGGGGCUAAAUGCAUUUGUGCUAAGUUAUAGCAUUUUAUAGACAACUUGUUGACUAUGAUUUGUCUUGUAGCUUACUCGCUUAUGUUAUUUUACCUACGCUUAGGAUGUUGAAUCUGUGCGAGACUAC
rnacentral:rRNA from 1 species